rnacentral:rRNA from 1 species
GACGAACGCUGGCGGCGUGCUUAACACAUGCAAGUCGAACGGAAAGGCCCUGCUUUUGUGGGGUGCUCGAGUGGCGAACGGGUGAGUAACGCGUGAGUAACCUGCCCUUUACUUUGGGAUAACUUCAGGAAACUGGGGCUAAUACCGGAUAUGAGCUCCUGCUGCAUGGUGGGGGUUGGAAAGUUUCGGCGGUUGGGGAUGGACUCGCGGCUUAUCAGCUUGUUGGUGGGGUAGUGGCUUACCAAGGCUUUGACGGGUAGCCGGCCUGAGAGGGUGACAGGCCACAUUGGGACUGAGAUACGGCCCAGACUCCUACGGGAGGAAGCAGUGGGGAAUAUUGCACAAUGGGCGGAAGCCUGAUGCAGCAACGCCGCGUGCGAGAUGACGGCCUUCGGGUUGUAAACCGCUUUCGAGUGUGACGAAGAGUGAGUGACGGUAAUGGGUAAAGAAGCACCGGCUAACUACGUG